AUACGGAGGGUGCAAGCGUUACUCGGAAUCACUGGGCGUAAAGCGCGCGCAGGCGGUCUUUUAAGUUGGAUGUGAAAGCCUACGGCUCAACCGUAGAACUGCAUCCAAAACUGUCAGUCUAGAGUCUGGGAGGGGAAGAUGGAAUUAGUUGUGUAGGGGUAAAAUCCGUAGAGAUAACUAGGAAUACCAAAAGCGAAGGCGAUCUUCUGGAACAGUACUGACGCUGAGGCGCGAAAGCGUGGGGAGCAAACAGGAUUAGAAACCCUAGUAGUCC
rnacentral:rRNA from 1 species